rnacentral:rRNA from 1 species
GCUUAACGCGAAGAACCUUACCUAGGCUUGACAUGCAUCUCUAAGCACGUGAAAGCGUGUGACCCUUCGGGGAAUUUGCACAGGUGCUGCAUGGCCGUCGUCAGCUCGUGUCGUGAGAUGUUGGGUUAAGUCCCGCAACGAGCGCAACCCUUGUGACUAGUUGCCAGCACGUCAUGGUGGGAACUCUAGUCAGACUGCCCAGAUCAACUGGGAGGAAGGUGGGGACGACGUCAGGUCAGUAUGGCCCUUACGCCUAGGGCUGCACACGUACUACAAUGCCCAGCACAAUGAGAACCGAGACCGCGAGGUGGAAGGAAAUACUAAAAAACUGGGCCCAGUUCGGAUUGGAGGCUGCAACUCGCCUCCAUGAAGUUGGAAUCGCUAGUAAUGGCGCAUCAUCUACGGCGCCGUGAAUACGUUCCC